ACGAACGCUGGCGGCGUGCUUAACACCUGCAAGUCGAACGGAAAGGCCCUGCUUUUGUGGGGUGCUCGAGUGGCGAACGGGUGAGUAACACGUGAGUAACCUGCCCUUGACUUUGGGAUAACUUCAGGAAACUGGGGCUAAUACCGGAUAGGAGCUCCUGCUGCAUGGUGGGGGUUGGAAAGUUUCGGCGGUUGGGGAUAGACUCGCGGCUUAUCAGCUUGUUGGUGGGGUAGUGGCUUACCAAGGCUUUGACGGGUAGCCGGCCUGAGAGGGUGACCGGCCACAUUGGGACUGAGAUACGGCCCAGACUCCUACGGGAGGCAGCAGUGGGGAAUAUUGCACAAUGGGCGGAAGCCUGAUGCAGCAACGCCGCGUGCGGGAUGACGGCCUUCGGGUUGUAAACCGCUUUCGCCUGUGACGAAGCGUGAGUGACGGUAAUGGGUAAAGAAGCACCGGCUAACUACGUG
rnacentral:rRNA from 1 species